rnacentral:tRNA from 1 species
AUAUUGGUGGUUCAGUGACAGAAUUCUCUCCUUCCAUGUGGAAGGCCCAGGUUUAAGUCCUGGUCAAUGCA